rnacentral:rRNA from 1 species
ACGAAGGGUGCAAGCGUUACUCGGAAUUACUGGGCGUAAAGCGUGCGUAGGUGGUUUGUUAAGUCUGAUGUGAAAGCCCUGGGCUCAACCUGGGGACUGCAUUGGAAACUGGCUUACUAGAGUGCGGUAGAGGGGUGUGGAAUUCCCGGUGUAGCAGUGAAAUGCGUAGAUAUCGGGAGGAACAUCUGUGGCGAAGGCGGCCCCCUGGGCCGUACCUGACGCUGAGGCGCGAAGGCUAGGGGAGCGAACGGGA